UUGAAUAAAUCUGACGUGGUUGUCGCUGGCUCCCCCGGGAGCAUGUGCACGCCCGUCACCUUUAUUUCUCCACCUGUGCACACACUGUAGGCCUGGAUACCUCUCGUCGCAAGGCGGAUGCGUGGCUUGCUGUCGCUUUCGAAAGAAGGCCGGCUUGCCAUGAAUUUCCAGGUCUAUGAUUUCUUACACACCCCAAACUGAAUGUUAUGGAAUGUCAUCUCAAGGCCUUGUGCCUAUAAACCUAU
rnacentral:misc_RNA from 1 species